rnacentral:rRNA from 1 species
GCUUCUAGCUUGCUAGAAGUGGAUUAGUGGCGCACGGGUGAGUAAGGUAUAGUUAAUCUGCCCUACACAAGAGGACAACAGUUGGAAACGACUGCUAAUACUCUAUACUCCUGCUUAACACAAGUUGAGUAGGGAAAGUUUUUCGGUGUAGGAUGAGACUAUAUAGUAUCAGCUAGUUGGUAAGGUAAUGGCUUACCAAGGCUAUGACGCUUAACUGGUCUGAGAGGAUGAUCAGUCACACUGGAACUGAGACACGGUCCAGACUCC